UAAUAAAUUAUAAAAGUACAAUAAUAAUGGCGGUCAAUUUAAUAUUUUUAUAAAAAAUACGCGCGCAAGGAUAAAUUUGAAAGGUAGUUGUAAAAAAGUUGGUUAGAUGUCGCCAGAGGGAGUGUUAUAACGUAAUUGAAGAUUUUAUUGGAUCAAUGUACCGGAUAAAUUUUCAUGAUGGCUGACAGUUUUUCUGGUUUUUAAUCAAGUGUAAUGAGUACGUGCCACAGAUCGAGUUAAAAAAUAAUAAAAUUGAGACAAUAACGUGUUGAAGAUCCCAAUAGGACAAUGGAUGACAGCCCAGCGACAAUCGUUGUUCAUCGCAGUACAUCGGCAGCAUCUCCAAUAAAGGUGGCUGCUCCGGAUAGUCUUGGUCUUAUUCUGGGAUUGGUAACCAGAGUACAGCCGGAAUAAGGUAUAUACAGCAACAUAAACCAACGUCGAAGAGAAGGAGAACCGUUCAACCAAAACUAUCUAUCUCUUGAGUUUUCUCCGAACUGGGCUGAUGAUCAUCAACAUAACCUGGAAAACAUAAACAGAAAGAAUAAAGGAAUAAAGCAUUCACCCAUCAGACUUUGUUUCAAUUACGAAAAAAUCGAGAUUUGCGAUGUAAUGCUCGAGAGGUUACAACAUGCCAGGUGAACGUUUCAGUGGUUAAAAUAAAAUAAAACUUUAAUCGGCAGAUGCUCGAUUCAGUAUCCUUAUUUUAAGCGAGCAGGUAUAGUCUGCUCCAGAGAAAUCCAAUGCAGGGGUUCGGUGCACUGACUUGCUGACGCUGUUGAUGCCGUGCGUUGCACUUUGAGCACCUUGCCGGUUUUAGUUUUCUUUUUUUUUUCUUUUUUUUUCUUUUUUUUUAUUCUUGUUGGUCAGUUGUACCUCCAAGUUGUCUUCCUUUUAAUUCCUUCCCAUCCUCGAUAAACAUUUUCAUCAACGGACCUCUUGUCCAAGGACAAGCUUCAGCUUCUCAGCUCUGAACCUGGCUCUCUCUUUUCCUUUUUACAUACUUUGGUCUCGCUUAACUUUUACCAGGCAAAGUUUAAAGCAAUCUUUAAAGCGAGCUGAGAAGAUCAACCCAUGCACUUUAACCAGACGGGGAUAUAACUGUGUGCGGUCGUACGACCAGUAGAUACCACCUGCCUCGGGCACACUUAAUUGCGUGCCAAUGCACCGGUGUCUUAAUUCACCUUCUGCUCACACCACCGAUAAGAUGAGAAUUAAAAAUCAUAAGUCUCAUCAACAGGACCCUUUUUUUGCGAAUCAGCAGUCAUUAUUCAGCCAAAAACUUUCAAAAGAGUGGCCCAAACAACGGGCACAGCUAAUUUUAAAAUGCGCUUUGUUUAAUAACAAUUUGUUCUGUAUAAUAUUGUUCAUCCGACUAAAAAUUAUCUGAUAUCGUUUAUGUCAUAUGAUAUUUCAGAAAAAUAUCCAUUCAAAAAUGUAAAUACUCAAAAACUCAACAGCAAAGUAACAAAAAUAUAAUUAAAAAAAAAAAAUUAAACAUAAUAGAAAGCCAAGUACACAGUUAUAGAACACUAAAAAAAAUUUUUUUAUAUAAAUCACUUGAUACCUCAGUUAUUGAAAAAAAAAAAAAAAAAAAAAAAAACAAAAAAACCCUUUACCUUUUUCUUAUACUCUAGUUACGUAAAACUCUUAGAGAAGCUUUCUUGUAUCGUAUGAUCAUUUGAACUGUGAAAAGUUGUUUUUAAAAAUGUAAUGCUUGAAAGAUUCUUUUUGAAGUUUGGUUGCUGGGUUCUUAGUCCAAGAUAAUACCUAGCAGGAGCAGUAUUGAGAGUAAGGAUAGCUGAAUAUCAGCGUAUAAAGAAAUUAUUGAGUGUAAGAAUAAGGAUAAUGUAAAAAAAAAAAAAAAAAAAAAAAAAAAAAGAAAUGGUAUAAGUAUAUGGGGAGAAUUAAAUAGGAUUGUAAGACGGGAGACGGGACCUUUUUUCGCGGGUGCAGCUGCGGCUAGUGGUGCUCACCUGCCGACCACGUGCCAUUAAAUUCGGUGUAGUACCUCCUCUUCUCUCCUCUCUUCUUUACUCAACUCUCUGUCUGCAGCCCCAUAUUCCUCAACCUCUAGCAGUAUCUUGAGAGACUGGAGUGUUACCGAGGGUAUUAUAUUGUAAACGUAAGUAUAAGUUGUCAGAAAAAAUAUAAAAAUAUUAAGAAAAAAAAAAUAUAAUGCAUGGCGUUCAAUGUCUUCGCUGUGCAACUGUUGUAGAAUAAAUAUUGCCGAAAAAAAAAAAAAAAAA